UACGUAGGGAGCAAGCGUUGUCCGGAAUCAUUGGGCGUAAAGCGCGCGUAGGCGGCCCUGUAAGUCCGUUGUGAAAGUCAAGGGCUCAACCUUUGAAAGCCGAUGGAUACUGCAGGGCUAGAGUCCGGAAGAGGCGAGUGGAAUUCCUGGUGUAGCGGUGGAAUGCGCAGAUAUCAGGAGGAACACCAAUAGCGAAGGCAGCUCGCUGGGACGGUACUGACGCUAAGGCGCGAAAGCGUGGGGAGCGAACAGG
rnacentral:rRNA from 1 species